GCGGAAGUGGCGGAACUGGCAGACGCACCAGCUUGAGGGGCUGGCGGUCGCAAGACCGUGGGGGUUCGAAUCCCCCCUUCCGCACCA
rnacentral:tRNA from 2 species